rnacentral:tRNA from 1 species
UCCCUGGUGGUUCAGACAGUAAAGAAUCUGCCCGCAAUGCAGGAGGCCUGGGUUCGACCCCUGGCUGGGGAA